GUGAAUCAUCAAAUUUUUGAACGCAAAUUGCACUCUCUUCGAAGAGGAGGCCUGUUUGAGGGUCAGCCUAAAGAAAAUCGACAUGUUUGCUGUUGCGCGGGGACAUUCUUCGGAAAUUGGGUCAGCUUAAACCUUUGGGUUUUGAGCGGCGUAAUAUUUGCUUUUCGAUUCCACGAACGUGUCUAAGAAUUACUUCGUACGUUUAAGGUAUCGAUU
rnacentral:misc_RNA from 1 species